GGGGCGGUGGCGGAACGGUAGACGCUGCGGACUUAAAAUCCGUUCCGGGGUGACCCGGGUGUGGGUUCGAAUCCCACCCGCCCUA
rnacentral:tRNA from 1 species